rnacentral:rRNA from 1 species
GAUGAACGCUGGCGGCGUGCCUAAUACAUGCAAGUCGAGCGAACGGACGAGAAGCUUGCUUCUCUGAUGUUAGCGGCGGAGGGGUGAGUAACACGUGGAUAACCUCCCUAUCAGACUGGGAUAACUUCGGGAACCCGUAGCUAAUACCGUAUAAUCUUUUGAACCGCAUGGUACAAAAGUGAAAGACGGUCGUGCUGGAUCUAAUAGAUGCAUCCGCGCUGCAUUGGCUAGUUGGUGAGGUAACGGCUUACCAAGGCAACGAUGCAUAGCCGAACUGAGAGAGUGAUCGGCCACACUAGAACUGAGACACGGUCCAGACUCCUAAGGGAGGCAGCAGUAGGGAAUCUUCCGCAAUGGGCGAAAGCCUGACGGAGCAACGCCGCGUGAGUUAUGAAGGUCUUCGGAUCGUAAAACUCUGUUAUUAGGGAAGAACAUAUGUGUAAGUAACUGUGCACAUCUUGACGGUACCUAAUCAGAAAGCCACGGCUAACUACGUG